GACGAACGCUGGCGGCGUGCUUAACACAUGCAAGUCGAGCGGUAAGGCCCUUUCGGGGGUACGACGAGCGGCGAACGGGUGAGUAACACGUGGGUGACCUGCCCUCAGCUCUGGGAUAAGCCUGGGAAACUGGGUCUAAUACCGGAUAUGACUCCAUGACGCAUGUCGUGGGGUGGAAAGCCUUGUGCGGCUGGGGGAUGGG
rnacentral:rRNA from 1 species